UACGUAGGGGGCUAGCGUUGUCCGGAAUCAUUGGGCGUAAAGCGCGUGUAGGCGGCCAGGUAGGUCGGUUGUGAAAAUUGGAGGCUCAACCUCCAGACGUCGAUCGAAACCAUCUGGCUAGAGUCCGGAAGAGGAGAAUGGAAUUCCUGGUGUAGCGGUGAAAUGCGCAGAUAUCAGGAAGAACACCGAUGGCGAAGGCAGUUCUCUGGGACGGUACUGACGCUGAGACGCGAAAGCGUGGGGAGCGAACAGG
rnacentral:rRNA from 1 species